UCUGAAUUUAUAUCUUCCUCCACUCCAAAGAAUGCUUAAACUACCAAACUGUAGAGAAUUCUGGAGAACUGGGAUUAUUUCAAUCUUUUCCACUGACACCAAUCCACUUUUGCGGAAAUACCAGUAAUUACAUAUUUACUGAACUAUGGACUGAAUCCAAGAUCUCUGCUCUUCCGGUUUUUUAGUGCAAAACUUCAUGCAAUGUAUAAAUGGUUAGCAACCAACACAUAUUGGAAUGGCUGUUCUGACUCUAUAACAUAUUAGUAUAGGUGUACCAACAUGAGCCUUAGGACUUCAGUGGGCUCAGUUCUUUUUUUCCAAUAAACAUGCCAUUGACCAAAGGGAAGAAUUCUGCU